UACGUAGGGUGCGAGCGUUGUCCGGAAUUAUUGGGCGUAAAGAGCUUGUAGGCGGUUUGUCGCGUCUGCUGUGAAAAUCCGGGGCUUAACCUCGGGCCUGCAGUCGAUACGGGCAGACUAGAGUUCGGUAGGGGAGACUGGAAUUCCUGGUGUAGCGGUGAAAUGCGCAGAUAUCAGGAGGAACACCGGUGGCGAAGGCGGGUCUCUGGGCAGUAACUGACGCUGAGGAGCGAAAGCGUGGGGAGCGAACAGG
rnacentral:rRNA from 1 species